rnacentral:tRNA from 1 species
GGGGCUGUAGCUCAGUUGGGAGAGCGCUACAUUCGCAUUGUAGAGGUCGAGGGUUCGACUCCCUUCAGCUCCACCA